UGAGGUGAAGUCUGUGUUGUGUCAACACUAGAACAGUCUACUGGAGUAUCCUGGUUUCUUCCCAUUCGUUUCUGGGUUUGGGAAGUGACAGGUACGACUGUCCAGGCUCACGAGAAGUACAUCUCACAGGAAUGUCACCACGGAAACUAUCAGCAAAGCAGGACCGUGUCUCUGAAAAGUUGAUUUCCAAGGACUCUGGCGGCUGACAGACAUUACAUAAGCUAAAUGGAAGAGGAGUGACUGCCCAGGCAGCCCUGCAGGAGGAACUGAGACAAUGGUGAGUGGCAUUAACAAACGUCAAUCAAAAAAUUAUAUAU
rnacentral:lncRNA from 1 species